rnacentral:rRNA from 1 species
UACGAAGGGGGCUAGCGUUGCUCGGAAUGACUGGGCGUAAAGAGUGUGUAGGCGGUGCUCUAAGUUUGGUGUGAAAUCUACAGGCUCAACUUGUAGUCUGCAUGAGAAACUGCCGGGCUUGAGUAUGGGAGAGGUGAGUGGAAUUCCUGGUGUAGCGGUGAAAUGCGUAGAUAUCAGGAGGAACACCUGUGGCGAAAGCGGCUCACUGGACCAUAACUGACGCUGAUGCACGAAAGCUAGGGGAGCAAACAGG